AACGAACGCUGGCGGCAUGCCUAAUACAUGCAAGUCGAACGAUCACUUCGGUGGUAGUGGCGCACGGGUGCGUAACGCGUGGGAAUCUGCCCUUGGGUUCGGAAUAACAGCGGGAAACUGCUGCUAAUACCGGAUGAUGACGAAAGUCCAAAGAUUUAUCGCCCAAGGAUGAGCCCGCGUAGGAUUAGGUAGUUGGUGAGGUAAAGGCUCACCAAGCCGACGAUCCUUAGCUGGUCUGAGAGGAUGAUCAGCCACACUGGGACUGAGACACGGCCCAGACUCCUACGGGAGGCAGCAGUAGGGAAUAUUGGACAAUGGGGGCAACCCUGAUCCAGCAAUGCCGCGUGAGUGAUGAAGGCCUUAGGGUUGUAAAGCUCUUUUACCCGAGAUGAUAAUGACAGUAUCGGGAGAAUAAGCUCCGGCUAACUCCGUG
rnacentral:rRNA from 1 species